rnacentral:rRNA from 1 species
UACGAAGGGGGCUAGCGUUGUUCGGAAUUACUGGGCGUAAAGCGUGCGCAGGCGGCUUCUCAAGUCAGGGGUGAAAGCCCAGAGCUCAACUCUGGAAUUGCCUUUGAGACUGAGAGGCUUGAGUACGGGAGAGGUGAGUGGAAUUCCCAGUGUAGAGGCGAAAAUUCGUAGAUAUUCGCAAGAAGACCGAAGUGGCGAAG